ensembl:lncRNA
GGAUUGUCUGUACAUUGUUCAGUAGUUUUUAGACUUGUAGUGAUGGAAAUAACUAUUUGCUGUAGUCAAUUACCAUACAUAAUGUUGCAUUUUCUUCAUAUUAAAUUUUCCAAAUUCAGAAAAGAAAAAAAAAAUUGAAUUCAAUUUGUAAAGGACCAUGAUGGUAAGAAAUGAGAUGGGAGCAAGAUUUAUUUCAGUGCUUUUGCUUUCUCUCACUCUCACGUUCUCUCACAUACCCUUUUACAUAACCCUUUCUAGGCUGUCUUGGAUUCUCACCCCCAUCAUCCUGGGACAUUGCACUACAGCGUGUGGACUCCCGUAACCUGUUCUUGGAUUGGAUUAUAACCUGACAGAUCUUCAACAGACCGGGUCUGUUUCAAGAAGCCAGCAGUUUUGCUUUUGAGAGGAGGACCAUGGUGCAGGGUACAGAAGGAGAGAUAAAAGGGAGAGAGUGUAGCAGCUAUUCCAAAGAAGAGGAUCUGCCGGGAAAGAGAUAAGAGGGGAGGACAGAGAACGAAAGAGAGAGUUGGAGGACAAGAAAGAGAGAGAGAAAAUGGGAUAUUGCGGCAUGUGGAUCUUCCUCUUGUCCCUGUCUCUCUUCUAUCAAAGUGCCACUGCAGAGACUGAAGUAUGUCGUACAGCCAUGCCUGCUGAUAUUGUGUUCCUGGUGGAUGAUUCCUGGUCAGUGGGUCUAACCAGCUUCCAGCAGAUCAAAGAGUUCAUAGCGGACAUCAUCCGAGGCUUUCAGGGAAGUGUGGUUGGACAGGAAGGCAUUUGCUUUGGAGUUACUGUCUAUUCUGACUUGCCCAGAUUGCUGUUCUGAUCACUAAUGGCCAAUCAGAUGAUCCAGUGGACAGUCCAGCUAAAGCAGUAUCAGACAGUGGAAUUUCCCUGUUUGCUGUGGGUGAGUUGAAAACUUGGUGUUCUUCAUGUCAGAAGUGUUUGUGUUGUAGUCUAAACGGGCAUGACACGUCUGUGUGCACUUCUUCAUGUUUUGACGUGUGGUUCAGAGUAACUAUAGUGAAUAGUACAACGCAGCAAGACAUAGAAUGUGUAUCAGAGCCGAUCCUCCCUAUACACAAAAUACGCAAGCUGCAUAUGGCCCCUGAAACACCAGGGGGCCCCCUUGCUUUAAAAGAUUAUUUAAUUUUAGUUUUGUUUUUGAAUUUGGCCAGCAGUUAUGAAAACGAUCAUUUGAAAAAUUAUAAUUUCUUUUAAUGCGGUGUGCUGUCGCCCUUUCUACGUAAAAAUCAGUUAAAUCAUGUAAUGUGAAUGUCAUACAGUCUUGCUCGGGACUAAAAAAACGAGUUGAAAGAGUUCCGAGCCACAGAAGAGACACUGCUUCUUAAGCGCUUUCCGCGAGCGCGAUUCGAGACGGAGUGAAACAUGGACAAAUGCGUUUCAUUCAUUCGUUCAUAACCACUCAUAACCCACUCCAUGUUUGCGUAGGGCCCCCUGAAGUAUAGGAUCGGCUCUGAUGUGUAUGUUUGUGUGUGUCAGCCUUGUUUCCUUUCUCGCGCUCUUUCUGUUUUGACGCCCAGAGUGCUGAAAUAAUUAUGGUUCAUUACCCGGUGGCUGACUAAUUGCUGUAGUUUUUCAUCAAACCCAUUCCUCCUGGCCCCCUUUANACACACACACACACACACACACACACACACACACACACACACACACACUGACACUGUGUCCUGCCUUUCUAAUCAGUUUUCCCAGAGAGACGUGAAUAUAUCUGGCCGUUUGACACAUCUGUGAGACACAUGUACAGCAGGGCGACAUGCCGUGGCAUUUUCCCAAUAUCACUUUACAGCCAAUACACUGUCUGAUAACACUGCAGCAGGUCUGAGACACGUAAGGGUCAUUUCUAUACACACACACCUGUUAAGCAUCAGCUGCACCUAACAGGCCUCCAUUCUAUGACAGUGUUAAAUGGUCAAGUUGGAAAUGUGAAAUAGUGAUUAGUGAAUAGUCAUAGUGCUCAUAUGGGUGAUGAGGGUUCGAGUUUGACCUGCAGCCUGCCCCGAAUCCAUAAUAUGUAAGAAAUUAUGAAGUGGAUCUGUAUAGUAGCUAAUCUGAGCCAUUUCGACUAGCUGAUAUGUUGUAUGUUCUUAAGGGGUAAGGAAUGCUGACCAGUCCGAGAUGAGGAAAAUCGUCACAGAGCCCCAUGAGGAACAUUUACAGCUCAGCCCAGAUUUCUCCUUUCUGGAGAACCUUCUGCCCA